rnacentral:rRNA from 1 species
AUGAAGUUCAGUGCAGUUCCAAGUUUGGUUGAGUGUCUGACCUCCGCCGGUCAUCCAGUCUCCAGUGGUUUGUCGUCGCCGACACGCUCCCACAUUCGCCACUGCAGGAAGGAGCAAGACCUCCCACGUCUGACCCGGUCGUCCUCCAGCUCCGGCUCCUCACGGGUCAACCAGCUGCUAAACAAACUCAAGGAUUAUCUUGGCUCUGGGACGCUCAGGCCGGAGCUCGCGCACCAACUGUUCGUCGAAUUGUUUCGUCAAACCGUUCCGGUAUCAGCAGACGCACUCAAUGUCUUAUUUUCUGCCCUCGCGUGUGGGCUGCCCUCUGCCGCCUGCAAUGAUGGUCCUGCCCUCGCAAUCGCCCUCUUCAAACACAUGGCACGAGCAAGAUGCCGCCAGGUGAUGGCACCCACCAAUCACACUUACAACACACUAAUUGAGUGCUGCCACAUGGCACGCCGCCCUGACAUAGGGCUCGUCUUCUUUGGCCUCCUCCUCAAGAUAGGCAUCACGGCAGAUGUCUUCACCUUCAACAGCUUAUUGAAGUGCCUCUGUGACAUGAAGCAAACAGAUGAGGCUCUAGGCGUGCUGCUCCACAGGAUGCCCGGCGACAUGCCUGAUGUCAUCUCCUACUCAGUAAUUAUCAAGAGCUUCUGUGACAACGGGAGGAGCCACCGUGCACUUGACCUGCUCCGGAUGAUGACCAAAAAGGGAUAUGACCACUCCCCCAAUGUGGUUUCAUACACAAUAAUCAUUGAUGGAUUAAUUAAGGAGGGUGAACUAAGCAAAGCAUGUGCUCUAUUCCAUGAAAUGAUGCAGCAGGGGGUUGUGCCUGAUGUGGUGACGUAUAGCUCCAUUAUCGAUGGGUUGUGCAAAGCAAGAGCAUUGGACGAGGCAGAGGUGGUCCUUCGACAAAUGAUUGAUAGCGGUGUUUGACCGAAUGCUGUGACAUACAGUAGCCUGAUCCAUGGAUAUUCCACUUCAGGCCAGUUUGAAGAGGUAGUUAGGUUAUUGGAAGAAAUGAGAGGUCAAGGUGUCAAACCAAAUGUUUUUACUUGCAACACAGUCAUGGACUACCUUUGCAAGCAUGGAAGAACAAAAGAAGCUGCAGAACUUUUUUAUUCCAUGGCUGAGAAGGGCCAUAAACCUAAUUUGGUCUCAUAAUCUAUUAUGCUUCAUGGGUAAGCUAUAGAAGGAUCCCUUGUUGAAAUGACUGAUCUCUGUGAGCUGAUGGCAAGAGACGGUAUUGUACCCUAUCUCCAUUGUUUCAGCAUAUUGAUUAAUGCAUAUGCUAAGUGUGGAAUGAUAGAUGUGGCUAUACUUUUCUUCAAAGACAUGUUGAAGCAGGGAGUGAACCCUGAUGAAGUCACAUAUUUAGCUGUGAUAGCCGGGUAUUGCAGAGUGGGCAUGAUGGAUGAUGCUAUGGAAAAAUUCAAUGAGAUGAUUGAUAUGGGAGUACCACAUAACGCAACUGUUUACAGGUGUAUGAUUCAGGGUUACUUAAAUCAUGGUGAUUUCUUGAAAGCAAAGGAAUUGAUUACUGAAAUGAAGACCAAGGGUAUCCAUCCUAGAUGCGGAAAAGCCAAAGAAUUGAUCCAGGGCAGUAGCGGAUCAGUGGACAACAUUCCAGUGGCUAGGGGUCUACACUACACCAAAAUUAGUAUGAUGGACAAACAUUGCACUAGUAAAACUAAAACUAGUAAAUUGUUUGUGGGGGCCAUGACCCCCAUGACCCCACCCCUAGAUCCGCCACUGACCCAGGGUACCUCAUGUCACAACUCUUUUACAGGUGCAUGUUCCAGGGUUGUUUUCAUCAUGGUAAUUACAUAA